rnacentral:rRNA from 1 species
CAGCCGCCACGGUAAUACGGAGGGUGCAAGCGUUAAUCGGAAUUACUGGGCGUAAAGCGCACGCAGGCGGUCUGUCAAGUCAGAUGUGAAAUCCCCGGGCUUAACCUGGGAACUGAAUUUGAAACUGGCAGGCUGGAGUCUUGUAGAGGGGGGUAGAAUUCCAGGUGUAGCGGUGAAAUGCGUAGAGAUCUGGAGGAAUACCGGUGGCGAAGGCGGCCCCCUGGACAAAGACUGACGCUCAGGUGCGAAAGCGUGGGGAGCAAACAGGAUUAGAUACCCGCGUAGUCCCUGUCUCUUAUAC